rnacentral:miRNA from 1 species
GCAUGCAAGCAGGAGCGGGGCAGGGAUCUCUCAGCUGCGAAGGGAGGCUUCAUGUUGCCUAUCAGAGCUUGUGUGCAAGCAGGAGGGGGCAGGGAUCUCUCAGUUAGGCAACGGGAAAUCUCCCUUCCCAGCUGAGGAAUCCCUGCCCCCUCCUGUUUGCACGC